GACGAACGCUGGCGGCGUGCUUAACACAUGCAAGUCGAACGGAAAGGCGCCUUUGGGGGUUCUCUAGUGGAGAACGGGUGAGUAACAGGGGAGUAACCUGCCCUUGACUUCGGGAAAAGGUCAGGAAACUGGGGCUAAUACCGGAUAGGAAUUAUUGUUGCAAGGUGGGGGUUGGAAAGCUUCGGCGGUUUUGGCUGGACCCGGGGCUUAUCAGCUUGUUGGAGGGGUAGCGGCUUACGAAGGCUUUGACGGCUAGCCGGCCUGAGUGGGCGACCUGACACACUGGGACUGAGACGCCGUCCUGAGUCCUACGGGAGGCCGCGGUUGGGAAGCUUGCGCAAUGGGCGAAAGCCUGAAGCAGCGACGCCGCGUGAAUGAAGAAGGUCUUCGGGUCGUAAAACUCUCUUCGUGGGGAAAAACGCAUUUAUAAGUAGCUAUGCACAUCUUGACGGUACCUGCAGAAAAAGCACCGGCUAACUACGUG
rnacentral:rRNA from 1 species